rnacentral:misc_RNA from 1 species
GGCACAUUACAUUUUGUUGUUCAUUAAUACUCAUAGGUACAUAUAUAAAGUACUAAUUAAGCCAUUAUAAUUCUUUGGCACUUAGUGAUUCAAAUACAACAGCAUUUAUUCUGGGUCAUUAUUCCAAUCUUACAGUAGCAGUGUUGCUCCCAGUCCCCAUUCCAUAUCAACCAUGAGUAUUAGGAGGAACACAACCCUUUCCUCUACCAGGAAUAUGAGUACAAGGAGUGUUACCAGAGCUAGGAGGCACAGGUCCCCUUUGUAGUAGUCUUCGCAUGAUAAUUUCAUUGUAUCUGAAAUUGCCAUCAAUAUUUUGCUUGGAAUUUGCAGCAGGUUGCAGAUAAUUUUCAUCAUAUUCCCUCAGCUUUUCCAUCAUAUUCAUGUGGUUUCUCUUCACAUCUUCUCUAGGAUCUGCUUUUCCUGCAAGUUGACUAGCAGUUUUCUCUUUUCCUCCUCUUUGUGAAGCCAAGCUUUCAAGCGGUUCAACUCCAACAGAACAAGAGAUUGAUCCACCAAUAAUCAAGAUUAACAAUAGCAGCUUCAUCUUCAAAUAGUUCAUAUUGAUUUUAGACAAAUAUAUGAAAUACAGAGUUAGGACAAGAAGAAUUACCUCCCCAUCAGAGCGAUUUCGGAU